GGGGUCGUUUCUGGAUUAUUUGGUGCAAUUGAACUGUUACCCAUGGUUGUAUGAUGCUGCUGGAGACUCUAUUAGGACCAAUUUUGUGAUUCAAUGAUGUGGGGAUGAGGAAUUGAAGGAGGCAGAUCUGCUUCCGUUCGAUGCGCCUAUGCGUGGAUUGCUUGGUUCAAUUCAGCCUUGUUGGUUCGAAAUUGGCAGUGACCCAUACGUCCAUUGGAUGCGCCAUGAAGAGACGGUUCUAGCGGUGGUGGUCCGCCACCGUGGGUAGUGUUUCCGGCGCCAAAAAUUGGAGUUGAAUGGUCCGAGUUUGCUGUUCGUUUUUGGUUGUGUGGGUAGCUUCUUUGACUGGAAAUUUGAAGCAAAUCUGAUGGAGUUUCGGUCAUUGGUUGGGUGGGUUGGAACGAGAGAAGUGAGGGUUUCAAGGUAGUAUUUUAGUCUACAGCCAAGGUGGUCGGAGGUUGGAGUUGUGGUGGCUAGAAGUGGUGUGCUGUUCGUUUUUUGUUGUGUGGGCAGCUUCUUUGACUGGAUAUUUUCAGGCAGAUCUGAUGGAGUUUUGGCCAUUGGUUGGGUGGGUUGGAACGAAUGAAGUGAGGGCUUCAAGGUGGUAUGUUGGUCGACGGUCAAGGUGGUCGGAGGUUGGAGUUGUGGUGGCCAGAAGUAGUGGCUCAAAAUCCUCAAAAUUCACCUUCUUCCUGGAAAUUUCAAGCAGUUUAUGCGAGAAAAUUAGCUCGAUUUUGCUGGGAUUUGGGGCUGUUGUUUGUGUAGGGAUGUUAGGGGUUGAUGAGGAGAUGGUGGUGGCGCAAAAAUCCGGUGGCUGUGGUGGUCGGAAGUUGGCUUCCAUGGUUGGGCCGAAAUUUUGUGCUUGAGGUCCUCAAUAUUGUAUGGUCACGUGUUUUCGAUCCUUAAGUUUGAAUUAGAAUCAGAAAGGUCCCAAGCAAAUCUGAUGGAGUUUCGGUCAUUGGUUGGGUGGGUUGGAACGAGAGAAGUGAGGGUUUCAAGGUAGUAUGUUAGUCUACAGCCAAGGUGGUCGGAGGUUGGAGUUGUGGUGGCUAGAAGUGGUGUGCUGUUCGUUUUUUGUUGUGUGGGCAGCUUCUUUGACUGGAUAUUUGCAGGCAGAUCUGAUGGAGUUUUGGCCAUUGGUUGGGUGGGUUGGAACGAAUGAAGUGAGGGCUUCAAGGUGGUAUGUUGGUCGACGGUCAAGGUGGUCGGAGGUUGGAGUUGUGGUGGCCAGAAGUGGUGGCUCAAAAUCCUCAAAAUUCACCUUCUUCCUGGAAAUUUCAAGCAGUUUAUGCGAGAAAAUUAGCUCGAUUUUGCUGUGAUUUGGGGCUGUUGUUUGUGUAGGGAUGUUAGGGGUUGAUGAGGAGAUGGUGGUGGCGCAAAAAUCCGGUGGCUGUGGUGGUCGGAAGUUGGCUUCCAUGGUUGCGCCGAAAUUUUGUGCUUGAGGUCCUCAAUAUUGUAUGGUCACGUGUUUUCGAUCCUUAAGUUUGAAUUAGAAUCAGAAAGGUCCUGAUCGUGACCAUUUGUGCAAGUUUUUAAAUUUAAGUGACCAUUAGUGAAACCACCUGGAACUUAAGUGACCGUUUUUGAAAGUUUUAAACUUCAGUGAUCGUUUUGUAAUUUUUUGGUAACUUCAGUGACCGUUUGUGAAAUUAACCCGUUUAUAAACAGUUAAUAUACAUGAAUCAAACAGAUUUAACGUAUAUAUAUUUAUUUUAUCAUCUCUUUUAAGAUUUGUAGAAUCC
rnacentral:lncRNA from 1 species